rnacentral:rRNA from 1 species
AGAACGAACGCUGGCGGCAUGCCUAACACAUGCAAGUCGAACGAGACCGCUGACUUCGGUUGGCGCGUCUAGUGGCGCACGGGUGCGUAACGCGUGGGAAUCUGCCCUUGGGUACGGAAUAACAGCGAGAAAUUGCUGCUAAUACCGUAUAAAUGACUUCGGUACCAAAGAUUUAUCGCCCAGGGAUGAGCCCGCGUAGGAUUAG